CUAACCAAUGAAGGCAGGCAGGAAUCGUUAGGCUCCUCUUUGAACCAAGAAUCCCAAAACGAUGAGCUCAUGUCUUCAGUUGUCUGCAACACAUCUAAAUCUUCAUCAACGUCCUCAACGGAUGCAGGAGCAGCCAUUCAUCAUGUAAUGAAUGUACAAUGCGCCAACAUACGGGAUAUGGUAUAAAGCGCUGCAUUAGUAGUCCGAGGCUUCUCCGGUAUGCGUCUUGGCGCCUACGGAAAGCUUCCAGCAAUUAGCGUGUACCUUUCGUGGGGCAUUUGUUUUAAUCUGUUUUUGUUGUUUAACUUUGGAAUCGGUGAUCGCGGCAAAAGGAACCGGGCUAGAUUUCGUCAAGUAUUUAGCAAAUCUAAAGGUUCGUGACAGGACAAUGUGAGACAGGUGAUCCACUCAGUUGUUAAGAUGUAGCAAUGCUGACAAGUUUCAAUGACUUCUCAGUUUGAGGUCAAAAAAGUCAAUGGAGUUUUACUGCAUUUAAACUAAACUUAUAAAGACUGAUGUAAUGAGAUGUGUCUCAGUGUCCUACAUAUGGGCUUAGAUACCAUUGAAUGCAUUUCUGUAGUUUGUCAGUUUAUUGCUUGGAAUCUGUAUUUUGUUACAUUCAAAGAAUUAUUCACACAAGUUCAGUCAUUGCAUCUUGAUUGGUCUUGAAAG